GACCCGGCACUUGGCCUUGUUGAACUUCAUGCAGUUGGCCUCAGCCCAUUGGUCCAGCCUAUCCAGAUCCUCCUGCAGAGCCUUCCUACCCUCGAGCAGAUCGACACAUGCACCUAACUUGGAGUCAUCUGCAAGAUCACUGAAGGUGCACUCGAUCCCCUCAUUCAGAUCAUCGAUAAAGAUAUUAAAGAGGACUGGCCCUAGUAGUGAGCCCUGGGGAACUCCAUUAGUGACCGGCCUCCUACUGGCUUUAACUCCAGAUAAAUGUAACUGGAUUACAACAGCAGGCAUGUUUCUAGCCACACGUGCCUUUUUCCAGAGAGAAAGCUGAAGAACAUGGCAACCCACAGCCUGCUGCACCCUGAGGGGCAAGGGCAGAGCAAAGCCCAGGCUGGCACAACACAAAGCGUUGGGGACGGCCAUGGCUCCGGAAUGCUGGCCCCAGCGGCGGUUGGGCGGUUGGGCAGGCCUGUAACGGCUGCCCGUGCUGACGGGGAGGCUGCUCGGCUGCCUGCUCCUCCCGCUCAAGUGUCCGCUCCAGACACAACCUCAAGCAGAGGGAGUCAGCUUCUUUUUCCUCUCUCUUCAAGCAGGACGGUGACACGAUUGGGUCAGGACAAGUGUGACCUCUGCAUGAGGAUGACGGGACAUGGACAGCAUCGCCAGACACACACAGCGAUGAGACCAGACCACGGCAAACUCCUAGCCUCUCUGCCCUCGACAACUGAGCUGGAAAGAAGAGCUGCCAACGCUCUCCAGGACAGGUAGGAUCGCCCCAACCCACACCCACGAGGCUCUAACUGCAAGCAGGACGGUGACACGAUCGGGGUAGGACAGCAGUGACUGCUCCAUGAGGACGAUGGGACAGGGAGAGCCUCGGUGAGUCCUGGUAGACCCUUGGGCACAGAGGCAGGGUCUUCCUAUGAUCACAGAGGGAUGCUGCUCCGUUUGUUCUGUCUGUUAUUAAAGCCAGACACACACAGCGAUGGGAUGAGGCCAAGGCACAAUCCUGGCUUGUCUCCCAUUGAGAAGUCAGGUGGAAGGAAGUUCCAGCGCUCUCCAGGACAGGUAAGAUCUUCCCAACCCACACCCACCAGGCACUAACAGCAAGCAGGAAGGUGACACGCUCGGUCCAGGAGGGCAGUGACCACUCCAUGAGGACGAUGGGACAGGGACAGCUUUGGUGAGUUGCUAGAGACCCUUGGGCACAGAGGCAGGGGCUGCCCAUGUUAAGAAGGAUGCUGCUCUGUCUCUUGGUGCUUCUGUUUCAGCCAGAAACACAGAGCGAUAGAACCAGACCACGGCACAAUCCUGGCCGCUCUCCCCUUGAGAAGUCAGCUGUAAGGAAGAGCUGCCAACGCUCUCCAGGACAGGUAAGAUUGCCCCAACCCACACCCACCGGGUACUAACAGCAAGGAGGACGGUGACAUGAUCGGGAUAGGACGGGAGUGGUCCCUGUAUCAGGAUGAUGGAACAAUGACAGCCUCGCCAGAAUUUCACGGCGAUUGCACCAGACCAUGUCAAAAUCCUUGCCGCUCUCCCCUUGAGAAGUCUUCUUGAAUAAGAGCUGCCAUCACACUCCAGGACAGGUAAGAUUGCCCCAAAACACACCCAGCAGGCUCUGACUGCAAGCAGGACGGUGACAUGAUCGAGGUAGAAAGGGAGUGAUCGCUGCAUGAGGUUGACGGAACAAUGACAGCCUCGGUGAGUUGCGCUAAAGCCUCGGGCAGAGAGGCAGGGGCUGCCCGUGUUCACAGAGGGAUGCUGCUCUGUCUCUUGGUGCUUCUCUUUCAGCCAGAAACACCCAGCGAUGGAACCAGACCACGGCACAAUCCUGGCCUCUCUCCACUUGAGAAGACUUCUGGGAGGAAGAGCUGCCAAGACUCUCCAGGACAGGUAAGAUUGCCCCAAAACACACCCCAGCAUGGUCUCAUAUCAAGCAGGACAGUGACACGCUUGGGCCAGGACGGGAGUGAGCGCUCCAUCAGGAUGACAGGAGAUGGAUUGACAUGGUGAGACACUCGAGGUUGUUGGGCACAGAGGCAGGGUCAGCCCCUUGUCACACGGGGAUGCUGCUCCGUUUGUUCUUUCUCUUAUUAAAGCCAGACACACAGAGCGAUGGGAAGCAGGCCACGGCACAAUUGUGGCGACUCUCCCUUUGAGAGGACAUCUGGAAGGAACUUCCAGCGCUCCCCAGUAAGAGUAAGAUCUCCCCAACCCACAUCCACCACUGUUCACAGAAAGCAGGAAUGUGACACGAUCAGGCUAGGAUGGCAGUGACCGCUCCAUGGAAACGACGGAACACGGAAAGCCUCGACAGGAACACACCUAGGGAUGAGAGCAGACCACGGCACACUGCUGGCCUCUCUCGCUUUGAGAGCUCAGCCAGAAAGGAUGCCAGCACUCUCCAGGACAGAUAAGACAGCCCCAAGCCAUUCCCCACUGUGGUGUCACGCUCGGACCAGGAGUGCAGUGACCGCUCAAUUAGGAUGAUGGAACAGAUAUGGCAUCGGUGAGUCGCUGGAGACCCUCGUGCACAGAAGUAGGGGCAGCCUGUGGUCUCAGGGGGAUGCUGCUCCGUUUGGUGCUUCUCCUUUUGCAGCCAGAUUCACACAGCGAUGGGACAAAACCACAGCACGCUCCUGGCCACUCUCCCCAUGAGAACUCAGCUGGACGGAAGAGCUCCCAACACUCUACCUGACAGGUAAGAUCACCCCAAGCUACACCCCCGAUGGUCCACAGCAAGCAGGAAGCUGACAGAAUGGGGGCAGGACGGCAGUGAAUGCUGCAUCAGGAAGACGGAACACAGACAGGCUCGGUGAGUCACUAGAUACUCUUGAGCAGAGAGGCAGGGGCUGCCCAUGCUCACAGGGAGGUGCUGCUUUGUUUUGUGCUUCUUCUCUUUCAGCCAGACACACACAGGAUUGCCUCCAGACCACGGCACAAUCCUGGCCUCUCUGCCCUUGAGAAGUCAGCUGUUAGGAACUUGCAGCGCUCUCUAGGACAGUUCAGAUCUCCCCAACCAAAGCCCAGCAGGCUGGCCGUUGCUGCUCUGUUUGGUGCUUUUCCUCUUUCAGCCAGAAACGGCACAAUCCUGGCGUCUCUGCCCUCGAGCACUCAUCGGCGAGGAAGAGCUGCCAACGCUCCCUAGGACAAUUAAAAUCGCCCCAACCCACACCCACCAGCCUCUAACAGUAAGCAGGAAGGUGACACGCUCGGGCCAGGAGGGCUGUGACUGCUCCAUGAGGAUGAUGGAACAGGGACAGCUUUGGUGAGUCGCUAGAGACCCUUGGGCACAGAGGCAGGGGCUUCCUGUGCUCACAGAGGGAUGCUGCUCUGUUUCGUGAUUCUCCUUUUGCAGCCAGAUUCACACAGCGAUGGGACCAAACCACAGCACACUCCUGGCUACCUUCCCCUUGAGAAAUGUGCUUUAAAGAAGAGCUCCAAGCACUCUAUAGGACAGGUAAGAUCGCCCCAACCUCCAGCUGCGAUGGUCCACGCAGGAAGCUGACAGGACUGGGGCAGGAUGACAGUGAAUGCUGCAUCAGGAAGAAGGGAUAUAGACAGCGUCGCCAGAAACGGCACAAUCCUUGCCUCUCUGCCCUUGAGCACUAUGCUGGACGGUAGAGCUGCCAACGCUCUCCAGGGCAUGUACAUGUAAGAUCGCCCCAACCCACAUCCACCUGCCUCUACCAAAAAGCAGGAGGGUGUCACGCUCGGGCCAGGAGGGCAGUGACUGCUCCAUGAGGACGACGGGACAAGGACGGCCUCGGUGAGUCGCUGGAGGCCCUCGGGCACAGAGGAAGGGGUAGCCCGUGUCGACAGAGGGAUGCUGCUGCGUUUGGUGCUGCUUCUCUUUCAGCCAGAAUCACACGGCGAUUGGACCAGACCACGGCACAAUCCUGGCUGCUCUCCCGUUGAGAAGUCAGCUGGAAUAAAAGCUGCCAAUGCUCUCUGGGACAGCCAGGUCUCUAAGGAAAGCAGGUGGGAGCUGGUGCAAAGGGGCUGUAACAUGCAGCUGCAGACUUCAGUGCAGAAGUGUGGUGUAAGGAAAAGUGAUGCAAGCGCCAGGUGGCCAAUGAGAGAAAUGUCAGGGUUGGGGUGGUGAGGAGCAAGGUUGUCCACGCGCUGUCAGACCUCAAGAGUCUGCUUUUCCUCCCGUAUUUUUGCAUGUGCAUGUGCAUGUGCUAAGCCCCUCCCUCCGCUGCUGGCCACGCUGCUUUUGAUGGAGCCCAGGAGGCAGUUGGUCUUCUGGGCUGCAAGCACGCGCUGCUGGCUCAUGUCGAGCUGCUCAUCCAACAGAACCCCCAAAUCCCUCUCCACAGGGCUGCUGUCAGGGAGUUCUUCUUGUGCCUGCUAUUGCUCUGACACAGGUGCAGCACCUUUUGUUUGGACUUGUUGAAGCCAGGCACCCCCUGGCACCAAACCGCCCGCUGGGAGCAGCUGCAGAGCUGCAGGCCUGCAGCUGGGCAGCACGCGCUGUCAGGGGGAGCGCAGCAGUGGGGCCGGGCACCAGGGGAGGGGAGCGCCGAGACGAACACCCCAGCCCUCCUGGCGAAGGGCAGCAUCGCCGUGCCCCAACCCCACCAGACCUCACAGCGGGCACGCGAGGAGGCGGUGGGCACAGCAGCAGGAAGAGGGGGAGAUGGCAGCAGGGGUGUGGAUGGCACCACCAAAUAAAUUGUUAGCUACACUGAGACUUUA